rnacentral:pre_miRNA from 1 species
GAGGGCCCCCCCCAAUCCUGUUGUGCUUGGUUCAGAGGGUUGGGCGGAGGCUUUCCU